UUUGCUCAGCGGCCCUUCCAUGAUGGACGCCAUCUUGGGAGCCGCCAAUGACAACAAACGACCUGACGUCACUCGCCUAUAAGAUGGAGGAGCAAUCACUGACACACCAGACUGAAGGUUAGCAAGCAGACAGCAGGAGGGGGUCCACGGAGGAGCCCGUUACUGUUGGGAUUGAAGAAAUCCUUGUGGCUGCUGCAAAAAAAUCACAUGGACCUUUCCCAUCUGGAAACAAGAUGGAUGGAAAAGGCAGUGGAUGCAAUCUAAACAUAGACUGGAUUAUAGAGAAUUUCACCUCACUGCAAGAAAAUUUUAUGGAGACAAAAGGAUAAAGGAUGUGGAGAAGCAAUGGAGAGAAUUAUAUGAAGAAAUGGAAAAAAGGAAACAGGAAGAAUAGACUGAUAAUAAAAGGCAAAGAAGAGGAAGGGGAAGAUGACAUCUGAGGAACCAAAGAAAAGGAAGGCGAAGAGGAUUCUGCUGAGGAACCAGUAAUUGAUGGGCAGGUGGAGGGAGAUAAUGUGGCAAGGGCAUUUUGGGGUAAAAAUGAAGAAGUUGGGUUGAUCAGAAGGAUGAACUGUAACUGGGGGGAAAUUGUUAACACUCAGAGGCAAAUGAUGCUGCUUAGAAUAUUCAAGAAUUUGACAAAAUCUGGGGAGCUUGCUGAUUUUGAAUAAAUACUGAGUU